rnacentral:rRNA from 1 species
CCUACGGGUGGCAGCAGUGAGGAAUAUUGGUCAAUGGGCGGAAGCCUGAACCAGCCAAGUCGCGUGAGGGAUGACUGCCCUAUGGGUUGUAAACUUCUUUUAUAAAGGAAUAAAACGAGGCACGUGUGCCUUUUUGCAUGUACUUUAUGAAUAAGGAUCGGCUAACUCCGUGCCAGCAGCCGCGGUAAUACGGAGGAUCCGAGCGUUAUCCGGAUUUAUUGGGUUUAAAGGGUGCGUAGGCGGCCUUUUAAGUCAGCGGUGAAAGUCUGUGGCUCAACCAUAGAAUUGCCGUUGAAACUGGGGGGCUUGAGUAUGUUUGAGGCAGGCGGAAUGCGUGGUGUAGCGGUGAAAUGCUUAGAUAUCACGCAGAACCCCGAGUGCGAAGGCAGCCUGCCAAGCCAUGACUGACGCUGAUGCACGAAAGCGUGGGGAUCAAACAGGAUUAGAUACCCCGGUAGUC